AGCGAACACUGGCGGCAGGCUUAACACAUGCAAGUCGAACGCCCCGCAAGGGGAGUGGCAGACGGGUGAGUAACAUGUGGGAACGUACCCUUUGGUUCGGAAUAACUUGGGGAAACUCAAGCUAAUACCGGAUAAGCCCUUAUGGGGAAAGGUUCACUGCCGAAGGAUCGGCCCGCGUCUGAUUAGCUAGUUGGUGAGGUAAUGGCUCACCAAGGCGACGAUCAGUAGCUGGUCUGAGAGGAUGAUCAGCCACACUGGGACUGAGACACGGCCCAGACUCCUACGGGAGGCAGCAGUGGGGAAUAUUGGACAAUGGGGGCAACCCUGAUCCAGCCAUGCCGCGUGAGUGAUGAAGGCCUUAGGGUUGUAAAGCUCUUUUACCCGGGACGAUAAUGACUGUACCGGGAGAAUAAGCCCCGGCUAACUUCGUGCCAGCCGCCGCGGUAA
rnacentral:rRNA from 1 species